rnacentral:rRNA from 1 species
CACAUGCAAGUCGCACGCGAAAGUUCUUCGGGAUGAGUAGAGUGGCGGACGGGUGAGUAACGCGUAGGAAUCUGCCCUGUAGUGGGGGAUAACCCGGGGAAACCCGGGCUAAUACCGCAUACGCCCCACGGGGGAAAGCGGGGGAUCUUCGGACCUCGUGCUAUGGGAGGAGCCUGCGUCGGAUUAGCUAGUUGGUAGGGUAAAGGCCUACCAAGGCGACGAUCCGUAGCUGGUCUGAGAGGAUGAUCAGCCACACCGGAACUGAGACACGGUCCGGACUCCUACGGGAGGCAGCAGUGGGGAAUAUUGCGCAAUGGGCGAAAGCCUGACGCACCCAUGCCGCGUGUGUGAAGAAGGCCUUCGGGUUGUAAAGCACUUUCAGUGGGGAGGAAAG